AACCAGAAAAUACGAAGUCAGACCUGCCCAGUGAAUUUUAAACGGCCGCGGUACUCUGACCGUGCAAAGGUAGCAUAAUCAUUGCCUUAUAAUUGAAGGCUGGAAUGAAUGGUUUGACAAGAAUACAUCUGUCUCUUUUUGAUUUCCUGGAAUUAAAUUUUGGGAUGAAAAAGUCCAGAUAUUAUUAAAAGACAAGAAGACCCUAUCGAGCUUUAGAAAAAUUCAAUGGACUCAAAAACAAUCAAUAGAAAUAAAAGAAGAGCCAUUAAGUGUACUUUGGUUGGGGCAACCGAGGAGCAAAUAAAGCCUCCUUUAAUCUUUAAGUCAGACGUGUGUUGAUCCAAAACUAUUGAUCAAAGGAAUUAGUUACCGUAGGGAUAACAGCAUUAUCUUUUGUGAGAGCCCAUAUCGAAAAAAAGGUUUGUGACCUCGAUGUUGGACCA
rnacentral:rRNA from 1 species